GUCUUUUAGAAUAUAAUUUAAAGUCUAACCUGCCCACUGAAUUUAUUUGAAGGGCCGCGGUAUUUUGACUGUGCAAAGGUAGCAUAAUCAUUAGUCUUUUAAUUGGAGGCUUGUAUGAAUGGUUGGAUGAAACAUUAACUGUCUCAAUUUAAUAAAAAUAGAAUUUAAUUUUUAAGUUAAAAAGCUUAAAUUUAAUUAGAGGACGAGAAGACCCUAUAGAUCUUUAUAAUUAAUUAAUUAUUAUUAAUUUAGUAAAUUAAUUUUUAUUAAUUAAUUAAUUAUUUUAUUGGGGUGAUAAAUAAAUUUAGUAAACUUUAUUUUAUAUAAACAUUUAUUUAUGAAUAUUUGAUCCAUUAUUAAUGAUUAAAAGAUUAAGUUACCUUAGGGAUAACAGCGUAAUUUUUUUAGAGAGUUCUAAUCGAUAAAAAAGUUUGCGACCUCGAUGUUGAAUUAAAGGUUAAUUUUAGGUGCAGAAGUUUAAAGUUUUGGUCUGUUCGACCAUUAAAUC
rnacentral:rRNA from 1 species